GGCAUACGAUGAAAUGAUAUACACAAUGGUAUUAUAAAGGCAGAAAGUGAAGUUUCCAAUUUUCUUGGUCUAGGCAAUAUCGAUAACCAGUGUUAUGGUGAAUCCAUUAAUAUGAAAAGGAUUCUAGAAGAAGAAGACAUUUUGUGUGGGUAAGGAAACAAAAGAAUGACUUGUGACAUCUUACUUAGAAGAAAAUAUCAGGGGCUGGCGGUGUUGCAGCUGUUAAAUUUGCACGUUCCACUUCGGUGGCCUGAGGUUUGCUGGUUCGGAUCCUGGGUGAGGACAUGGCACCGCUUGGUAAGCCAUGCUGUGGUAGGCGUCCCACAUAUGAAGUAGAGAAAGAUGGGCACAGAUGUUAGCUCAGGGCCAGUCUUCCUCAGCUAAAAAAAAAGAGGAUUGGCAGCAGAUGUUAGCUCAGGGCUAAUCUUCCUCAAAAAAAAAGAAAUCAGUGCCUCAUCUGGACGGACUACUUCUGACUUUGUCACACCCCUUGCCAGCUCUGCUUCAAUCAUACUGGCCUUCUGAUACUCAGACAUGCCCAAGUUUAUUCCUGCCUUAGUCUCUUUGCACUAGCUCUAGCUUCUGCUUGGAAUAUUCUUCCCCUGGGCAAGCUGGCUGCUUCACUGCUUAAAUGUGUCACUUCCUCCGAUACCUGACUACCCAGUCUAUAACUAGUCAGUUCCUCUCACACGACUCUAUUCUAAGUAUCUUGCAAAUUACUUCUCACAUCCCCCUCCCACACACACUUAUUUGCCACAACUCCUGGAAUUUAAGUUCCAUAUCAACAGGGAUCUUGUCUGUCUUGUCUAUUGCUGUACAGCUCAUAGAAAAGUUCCCCGUACCCAGAAGACAUUUAAAUGUAGGCCCUUAAAUAAGAAUGAAUGAACAGAACUUUUCACAGCCAUUCUGAGGGAAGGUCUGCCCAAUGGAAGACAUGGGUCAGGAAAUGCACCAGUGUACUUAUAUUAACAAGUAUGGGGCCAGAUGUUAGAUGAGAUGUCUAUUCCUUGCGAAUCAGAUGAAAUUGCCUUGAACUCCAUCUCAUGUGUGUUGGACAAAUCUUCAUCACUGAGGAUUUAGAAGGGAAGUUGUCGGCCUUAAG
rnacentral:lncRNA from 1 species